GAUCAUGGCUCAGAUUGAACGCUGGCGGCAUGCUUUACACAUGCAAGUCGAACGGCAGCAUAGAGGGCUUGCUCUCUGAUGGCGAGUGGCGAGCGGGUGAGUAAUACAUCGGAACGUGUCCGUUUGUGGGGGACAACCACCCGAAAGGGUGGCUAAUACCGCAUAAGACCUGAGGGUGAAAGCCGGGGACCGCAAGGCCUGGCGCGAACGGAGCGGCCGAUGGCUGAUUAG
rnacentral:rRNA from 1 species